rnacentral:rRNA from 1 species
UACCAGCACCCCGAGUGGGCGGGACGAUUAUUGGGCCUAAAGCAUCCGUAGCCGGUUCUACAAGUCUUCCGUUAAAUCCACCUGCUCAACAGAUGGGCUGCGGAGGAUACUAUAGAGCUAGGAGGCGGGAGAGGCAAGCGGUACUUAGUGGGUAGGGGUAAAAUCCGUUGAUCCAUUGAAGACCACCAGUGGCGAAGGCGGCUUGCCAGAACGCACUCGACGGUGAGGGAUGAAAGCUGGGGGAGCAAACCGG